AGGGACGUAGGUUAAUGGUAGACCUGGGCUCUCCAAAAGCUCUAGUGGAGGUUCGAUUCCUCCCGUCCCUG
rfam:Candidatus Amesbacteria bacterium RIFOXYB1_FTLL_44_23 rifoxyb1_full_scaffold_333, whole genome shotgun sequence.